rnacentral:rRNA from 1 species
AGAAUCAACGCUGGCGGCGUGCCUAACACAUGCAAGUCGAACGCGAAAGGGACUUCGGUCCUGAGUAGAGUGGCGAACGGGUGAGUAACGCGUGGGUGACCUACCCUCGAGUGGGGGAUAACGUCUCGAAAGGGACGCUAAUACCGCAUGACAUUCCGGGUUUGAAGACCUGGAAAUCAAAGCCGGGACCGCAAGGCCUGGCGCUCGGGAGGGCCCGCGUCUGAUUAGCUAGUUGGCGGGUAACGCCCACCGAAGGCGACGAUCA